rnacentral:rRNA from 1 species
GCCGUCGCAAACGCAUUAAGUAUCCCGCCUGGGGAGUACGGCCGCAAGGUUAAAACUCAAAGGAAUUGACGGGGACCCGCACAAGCAGCGGAGCAUGUGGUUUAAUUCGAAGCAACGCGAAGAACCUUACCAAGGCUUGACAUCCCCUGCAUAGUGUGGAAACACAUGAAAUCGUGGGCAACCACGACAGGGAGACAGGUGGUGCAUGGUCGUCGUCAGCUCGUGUCGUGAGAUGUUGGGUUAAGUCCCGCAACGAGCGCAACCCUUGUGGAUAGUUGCCAUCAUUAAGUUGGGCACUCUAUUCAGACUGCCGUGGACAACACGGAGGAAGGUGGGGAUGACGUCAGAUCAUCACGCCCCUUACGUCUUGGGCGACACACGUGCUACAAUGGUCGUUACAGAGAGAGGCGAGCCGGCAACGGGGAGCAAAUCUCAAAAAGGCGAUCCCAGUUCAGAUUGUGGGCUGCAACCCGCCCACAUGAAGGAGGAGUUGCUAGUAAUCGCGAAUCAGCAUGUCGCGGUGAAUGCGUUCCCGGGUCUUGUACACACCGCCCGUCACGCCAUGGGAGCCGGGAGUACCCGAAGUCAGUGACCCAACCGCAAGGAAGGAGCUGCCGAAGGUAAGACCGGUGACUGGGGUGAAGUCGUAACAAGGUAGCCGUAUCGGAAGGUGCGGCUGGAUCACCUCCUUUUAGGGAGA